UACGUAGGGUGCAAGCGUUGUCCGGAAUUAUUGGGCGUAAAGAGCUCGUAGGCGGUUCGUCGCGUCGGCUGUGAAAUCCCCGGAGCUCAACUCCGGGUCUGCAGUCGAUACGGGCGGACUUGAGUACUGCAGGGGAGACUGGAAUUCCUGGUGUAGCGGUGAAAUGCGCAGAUAUCAGGAGGAACACCGGUGGCGAAGGCGGGUCUCUGGGCAGUAACUGACGCUGAGGAGCGAAAGCCAGGGGAGCAAACGGG
rnacentral:rRNA from 1 species